UAUUUAGUGACUGAAAGGCAAGUAAUGGUCUCUUAAACCACUUUAUGGUACCCGCAAUUACCCUAAAUAA
rnacentral:tRNA from 1 species